rnacentral:lncRNA from 1 species
CCCACUAAGCAAAGCCAGGGAUCAAACCCGCAUCCUCAUGGAUACGAGUCAGAUUCUUUUCCACGGAGCCACAACAUGAACUCCCCGGAUUUAAAAAGUUUAUCCAUCAAAAUAUUAACAGUGGUUAACCCUGGGCAACAAUAUUAUGAGUGAUAUUUCAUUUUCAUAAUUUCAUGUUUUCCAAAAUUUCAUUAAUUACAUAUAUUACUAUUUUAAACUAAACAAAAAAUUUUAAUAAGGACUAGGAACAAAUAUAUCAAAAUAUUAAAUGACCUUUUCCUCUUGGUGAUUAUAGAUGGUUUAUUUUCUGCUUCACUGGGAAGUACUACUUCCCAAUUUUUUAAUAACCUUUAUGUUUUUCAUUAUAAUUAGAAAAAGGAUUAAGCCUGAAGAAAAAGUACAUGAUUAAAGGGGUUUUGUUUUUAUUUUUAAGAAAGCCUAAAGAAAUAUAUGUACAUUUGACAUGUCUUGAUUUCAAGAUAAUUCUACCAGUUUUAAAGUGUAUUUUAGAGUUUAAGGAUUUUAAAAGUAUGUUUAAUAUUAAGUAUACUGUAAAGAAUUUUAAAAUUAAAUAGAAAAAAAUAAUUCCUCAUUCCAUAACAACAGAAUCUCAGGGCUAGAAAGAACCACAACCAUCAUUUAAUCCAAAUAUUUAUUCUUACAGAGAAGAAAUUGAUGCAUAAAAGGCAAGUAGCUUGGGUCUCAUGGCUAAUUAAUAUGCAGGAUCUAGGCUAUUAUCCUUAUUCUCCUGAACCCACACCUGAGGCAAUUUCUACUACAGGACAAUGCCUCUAAUAACUUUUUCUGUAAGCAUAGAAAAUGUUUAUCUUCUUGAACUAGAAACUUUAAAUUGAGAAAAUAUUUGAGAAUUGGAGGGAAAAAUUUUUUUCCAUCAAAGAGAAAUUAUAAAAUUAAAACUAAUACAUAACAAAUGUUAACAUUCUCAUAUGGAUCUAAGAAAAAAAAAUCUAGUUUUGAGUUUUUCACAUUUCUAUCUAAAAUCCCAAAAUAUACAGGAUUUUGUUACCAAUGUUUCUGAUGAUGAAUAAUAUAUAGAACACUUAAAUUUGCUGCUUUGGUUCUAUAAAAUAAGAACAAUUAAACAAACAAGAUUCUGAAGCCAGACUGCCUAUACUAAAAUCUUGACACUGCCAUUUUCUAGAUGUGUUACUCUGAGCAAAUUAGUUACCUUUUCUGAGCCAUCAGUUUCUCUAUUUACAGGUCAAGGAUAAAAACAACCCCUAACUCAUUAAAUGAGUUCAUAUACAUAAAGCACCAAGAGUACAUAGCAUAAACCCUGUAUAUUCAACUGUGUAUGUUUAACUGCUUUUAUUAUUAUAAGACAAUGUAAAGGUAUGCUAUGUUUAUAUUGCGUUAUCACCCUUCUAAUAAAGUGGGCAAUAUCAUCAUUUAAUACCCCUAUAGAUAACUAUAAAUUAAAUAAUGUCUAAAUCUCAAUGACUCCACAAAUAUCCUCAAGCAGCUUAGCCAAUAGAACAGCUAAUGAUAAAACUGGUUAAUGUUAACUGUCAAAGAUAUUCAAACUUUAUGCCAACCUCUUCAAGGUCGGGGGUAAUAUGGAGGAAACAGGGUACACAUAGAGAUGCUGGGUUCAGGAAAGCCAAGCAAAAUUAAACAGUCAUAGCUAAUACAGACAAGCAUGAGGCUAGGAAUCUAGACAGGUGAGACAAAGGUUGAAAAGCACCUAGAAGUUAUUGUGGUGAAGUCAAAAGAACAACAGGAUGUUGAGACACAAUGCCUGAAUUCUAAUCCUGGUUCAGAUAUCAACUAGGUAUAUUAUCUAACUAAACCCACUUUCUGGUUUUAUUUACCUCAGGUAAAACAACCUGCUUCUCAGGGUCAUUUAUGGUUCAAAGGUCAAAUGCAUUACCAAACUUUAAGAAAAAAAAUUUUAAAAUUUUUUUUUUUUUUUUUUUUUUUUUUUUGUCUCUUUAGGGCCACACCCAAUAGCAUAUGGAGGUCCCCAGGCUAGGGGUCAAAUCGGAGCUACAGCUGCCGGCCACAGCCACAGCCACAGCAGCACAGGAUCCAAGCCGCAUCUGCAACCUACACCACAGCUCACGGCAACACCGGAUCGUUAACCCACUGAGCAAGGGCAGGGAUUGAACCUGCAACCUCAUGGUUCCUAGUCGGAUUCGUUAACCACUGCGCCACGAUGGGAACUCCUAUUCUUUUUUUAAAUUUUUUAUUAUAGUUGAUUUACAAUGUUGUGUCAAUUCCUAUGCACAGCAAACUGACCCAGUCAUACAUUAUAUACACAUUCUUUUUCUCAUAUUAUCUUCCACCAUGUUCUAUAACUAGAGUUCGAAAUGGUUCCCUGUGCUAUGCAGUAGGAUAAAACUUUAUUCUUGCCAAAAAAGUUUUGGGAGUUUUUCUCCUUGCAAGAGAAGGUUGUCUAAAGUUUGUACUCUUUGUCAAGUCUGGCUCAUCUCACAUUCUGACAGAGGAAGCACUAUGAAAAAAAGAAAAAGAUAGCACUGAGUAUGAGGAAGUAGAUGAGUUUUAAUUUCAAGUACAAAGAAGAGAAGGACUCAUUAAGUAUGAAAAGAUUUGAAGAAGGUGAAGGAGCUAGCUAACCAUUUGGAUAUCUGGGGGGACUAUUUCAGAAAGCGGGACCAACCAGUGCAAAGUCCUAAGCCAGGAAUGUAUCUUGAAUAAUUCAGGGAAUGGAAAGGAUGCUUGCAGACUGGGGUAAACAAGUGAAAGAAUGGUAGAAAAGAAGUCAGAGAAAUAACAAUGAGGUCUUGUAGGCCAUCCAAAGGAACUUUAACUAUGAAGAUGGGGACCUUGGGCAGUCUUGAUACAGAAAAGAGACAUGAUCUGACUUACCUUUUAAAAGAUUCACUGUGGCAGAUGUACCAAAAAGACUGUUAAGAUUGAGAGACAAAGGUGGGAGCAGGGAGAAGAAACGUAUCAAGUACAAGGCACAAGAGAAACAAUAACUCACCCAGCAUUACAGAUGGUAAAAAGUGGCCAGAUUUUGAAUAUAUUUUGAUGAAAGCCAACAGAGUAAUUUCUUGACAGAUCUGAUACAGUGAAAGAGAAAAAGGGACAUCGAGGAUGUGUCAAAGAUUUUUUAGUCUAAGCAAACAGGAUGCCAGAUCUACCAUCAACCGAAAAUGGGAAGGCUGCAAUUGAAGCUGAUUUGGAGGAAAAAUUAUAAAUUCAGUUUGGGAUAUUUUAGACUCAGAGAAUUUUAUCGUUCUAUAGGUAAUGACAACGUAUAUGGACAUAAGAAUUAGAAUUUUCAGAUUUAAUCUAAACACAUGGGUUAUGCAGAUGGCAAGUGAAGACACCACUUAUUUCCUAAUGUUUAACUCUGACCUUUUAAUGGAAUCAGCUUUUUAGCUAUUUUGAGAUGAAGUUAUAACCAUAGAAGAAAUUAAUGCUUAAAAAAAAAAAAUCACACUUUAAAUUCAUCUGGCUGCCUUAAUAUACAUCUGAAUAUCAACGUGGCUCAUGAAAGGAUAGAACUGCAAAUGAACUAUGUUUAUAGCACAGAUUACCAAAAUAUCAAUUUCAAGAACCCCUGGAGCUGGAGACAUAGAGUCUCCUAACACAAUUCUAAAAAUUUUAACUGUGUGAGUUAAAUCUCAUUCAUAAACUAGGAUUAUCAAAAACUUAAGUCAUUAACUAUAUUUAUCAAAAACCUCACCAUUAUACAUAGUUCUAUAAUAUUCUGACAUUCGAAUUUACUAAUUUUCAAAUACUAGUAAAUUUUGAAAUAUUAACAGAUAAUUAAAUAUGGUUUUAAGCAGUGAAAGUUAUAUAAAUGUAUACAGAUUAAACAUCAUGGUAUUAACUUCUAAUGAUACAGGGAUUCAACUAAUCCAACUCAACCACUUUAAAUUAUCUGUACCAGACUAAGGAAAAAAGAUUUUAUGUCACUAAUUUAUACAUAUCCUAGAACACUUUUCAUACUUAUAUAAAUAUUAUGAGCGGCACAAUGAAGAUAAAUUAGGUUUAUUUAAGAAACAAUAUAUAGGAGGGCACAGUCUUUAGGGCAUUAGCCUGCUGUAGCCUCCUUUGCCUGGCAAAGCAAUAAAGCUAAUUUUUUUUUCCUUUGUCCAUUCCCCAUCAAAAGAAAGAAAUAAUAUAUGGAUGAAUUGGUUAAUAGUAUAGAUCACCAAAAUAUCAAUUUCAAGAAACUUUUAUCAUUGAAUAGUUUAGAAAAGGCAGAGAAAGAAAGCCAGAUACAUAGGAGCUCCUUCACUGGACUAAUCAAGCAUUUCAUUGUAAUUACAAUGCAAGACCAAAGAGAAUAAAAUAAGGUGCUCUCAUGGGAAGCAUACAGAUAGGCAGACAAAUAGAAAUACAUAUAUAUUCACUUCCCCUUUUCUUGGUCACAUCCACAGCAUGCUGAAGUUCCUGGGCCAGGGUCAAACUUGGGCCAGAGCUAUAAAAAUGCCAGAUCCUUAACCCACUGAGCCACGAGGGAACUCCCCACAUUCACUUAUAAAUCAAAAACAAAAACAAAGACAAAGACAAGUUAACCCAAAGUCCAACCAACUCUACCCUAGGUAAACUUCAUUUACUAUAUGUAGGAUGGAAAAGAGCUUAAGAAGAAGAAAGUCGUUUUUCCAGAUUUUUUGAGAAAAUUUCAGCCCUUUUACACAGUUUAAAGUAUAAAAAUGUAAAAAGCACAGUCGUUUCCUCAAAUCUAAUGAACACAGACCACUGUCAAACUUCACACAUGCUGUGGCUGAAAGGUACAAAGGUCUUCCCUCACUCUAAAAUCCAUGAUCUUGUGGGAAAGCCCCUCCCCACUUCCGGCACAUGCAGUUCUCCUGGCAUUCUAGUUGCCCUGUGGCAACAGAACAGGAAAUGCAGGUAUGUCAUCAAGACAGUCUCCAGCCAACAGUAAGGGCAGCGCCACAGUUCUUUGACCUCACCCUCCACAAAGCUAAAACAAAAACCAAAAACAAAGCAAAACAAAAGAUACCACAAGUGGGGAGUGAGAUGGCAAAAGAGGCCAAUGCAGUGUUUCACCAUACCUCACAGGAAAGUCUGAUAAAUUUGAUGGCGUACAACCAGAACUGCAAUACCUCCUUUAUCUGAAAUCCAUCACCCAGGACCCAGCCACUAUCAUCUCACUAUACUGUUCCAAUAGCUCCUAACUACUUUUCCCAGUUUCAUUCUAAUCCCC